rnacentral:rRNA from 1 species
UACGUAGGGGGCAAGCGUUGUCCGGAAUCAUUGGGCGUAAAGCGCGUGUAGGCGGCUUGGUAAGUCUGCUCUGAAAGCCCGGGGCUCAACCCCGGGAGGCGGGUGGAUACUGUCAAGCUCGAGUCCGGAAGAGGAGUGUGGAAUUCCUGGUGUAGCGGUGAAAUGCGUAGAUAUCAGGAGGAACACCUAUUGCGAAGGCAGCUUACUACGCAGAGAUUGACGCUCAUGCACGAAAGCGUGGGGAUCAAACAGG